AGUGAACGCUGGCGGUAGGCCUAACACAUGCAAGUCGAACGGCAGCACAGUAAGAGCUUGCUCUUACGGGUGGCGAGUGGCGGACGGGUGAGGAAUACAUCGGAAUCUACUUUUUCGUGGGGGAUAACGUAGGGAAACUUACGCUAAUACCGCAUACGACCUACGGGGGAAAGCAGGGGAUCUUCUGACCUUGCGCGAUUGAAUGAGCCGAUGUCGGAUUAGCUAGUUGGCGGGGUAAAGGCCCACCAAGGCGACGAUCCGCAGCUGGUCUGUGAGGAUGAUCGGCCACACUGGAACUGAGACACGGUCCAGACUCCUACGGGAGGCAGCAGUGGGGAAUAUUGGGCAAUGGGCGCAAGCCUGAUCCAGCCAUACCGCGUGGGUGAAGAAGGCCUUCGGGUUGUAAAGCCCUUUUGUUGGGAAAGAAAAGCAGCAGGUUAAUACCACGCAGUUCUGACGGUACCCAAAGAAUAAGCACCGGCUAACUUCGUG
rnacentral:rRNA from 1 species